UACAGAGGUGGCAAGCGUUGUUCGGAAUUACUGGGCGUAAAGGGCGCGUAGGCGGCCUUCUAAGUCAGACGUGAAAUCCCCCGGCUUAACCUGGGAACUGCGUCUGAUACUGCAGGACUUGAGGCUGGGAGGGGCUGGUGGAAUUCCCUGUGUAGCGGUGAAAUGCGUAGAGAUGGGGGAGAACACUCGUGGCGAAGGCGGCCAGCUAGACCAGUUCUGACACUGAGGCGCGACAGCGUGGGGAGCAAACAGG
rnacentral:rRNA from 1 species